rnacentral:rRNA from 1 species
AUCCAUUAGCGCUUUUGUGUUUUUGGUGAGAGUGGCGAACGGGUGAGUAACACGUGAGUAACCUGCCCUUUUCUUUGGGAUAAGCCUGGGAAACUGGGUCUAAUACUGGAUGUUCCGGCUUCCUCGCAUGGGGUUGUUGGGAAAGGUUUUUUCUGGAUUGGGAUGGGCUCGCGGCUUAUCAGCUUGUUGGUGGGGUGAUGGCUUACCAAGGCUUUGACGGGUAGCCGGCCUGAGAGGGUGGUCGGUCACACUGGGACUGAGAUACGGCCCAGACUCCUACGGGAGGCAGCAGUGGGGGAUAUUGCGCAAUGGACGGAAGUCUGAUGCAGCGACGUCGUGUGGGGGAUGAAGGCCUUCGGGUUGUAAACUCCUUUCGCCCGCGGAA